AUGGGCCCGCUAGUAAUCGCGGAUCAGCAUGCCGCGGUGAAUAUGUUCCCGGGUCUUGUACACACCGCCCGUCACACCACGAGAGUUUACAACACCCGAAGUCGGUGGGGUAACCCGCAAGGGAGCCAGCCGCCGAAGGUGGGGUAGAUGAUUGGGGUGA
rnacentral:rRNA from 1 species